rnacentral:rRNA from 1 species
CAGCAGCCGCGGUAAUACGAGGGGGGCAAGCGUUGUUCGGAAUUAUUGGGCGUAAAGCGUGCGCAGGCGGUUAUAUAAGACAGAUGUGAAAUCCCCGGGCUCAACCUGGGACCUGCAUUUGUGACUGUAUAGCUAGAGUACGGUAGAGGGGGAUGGAAUUCCGCGUGUAGCAGUGAAAUGCGUAGAUAUGCGGAGGAACACCGAUGGCGAAGGCAAUCCCCUGGACCUGUACUGACGCUCAUGCACGAAAGCGUGGGGAGCAAACAGGAUUAGAUACCCCAGUAGUCCCUGUCUCUUAUAC